AAUCUUCAUAAAACAUGACCACGUAUUGUCUGACCAAUUCAGAACAUAUUCACACGUUCGAGUGACCUUACAGAAUUAUCCUUUCCCGUUGUAAUAUUCAAACCUAAAUAAGAGUUCACUUUUUAAAGUGAUCUAAAUGUAAAACAUAGGUAAUCAUCAUUUCAAUGGAUGGAAUGAAAUAGCCCUGACAUUGUUUGUGAGGACGGAAUGGAUAAAUUGUUUUUAUUCUGCUUCAGGUAAAAUUUAAUACUUACAUGUAUAUAUCUUGAGAUUUUGUUUUUAAAAAGCAACACAAUGUUAAAUAAAUCCCCUUUUUGAAAUCUGAUUUUUUAUGAAUGUAAAACUCUGUAUAAAUAUUUGAAUUCAGAC
rnacentral:lncRNA from 1 species